rnacentral:sRNA from 1 species
UAUCUCUCCGUACGGGGAAGGAUGAGAAGCUUCGACUAAGGUUCGAUUCGAGCGCAGCGAGAAAGCGUUGCCGCAGGCAACGACCCGAAGGGCGAAGCGCGCAGCGCUGAGUCAUCCUUCCCCACCACCA